UGGGGAAUAUUGCACAAUGGGCGCAAGCCUGAUGCAGCAACGCUGCGUGAGGGACGACGGCCUUCGGGUUGUAAACCUCUUUUGGCAGGGAAGAAGCGAAAGUGACGGUACCUGCAGAAAAAGCACCGGCUAACUACGUGCCAGCAGCCGCGGUGAUACGUAGGGUGCAAGCGUUGUCCGGAAUUAUUGGGCGUAAAGAGCUCGUAGGCGGUUUGUCGCGUCUGCUGUGAAAACCCGAGGCUCAACCUCGGGCCUGCAGUGGGUACGGGCAAACUAGAGUGCGGUAGGGGAGAUUGGAAUUCCUGGGGUAGCGGUGGAAUGCGCAGAUAUCAGGAGGAACACCGAUGGCGAAGGCAGAUCUCUGGGCCGUAACUGACGCUGAGGAGCGAAAGCAUGGGGAGC
rnacentral:rRNA from 1 species